rnacentral:lncRNA from 1 species
AGGAGUACCGCUGCAGAGACCAGCUCUACAGCUGCAUCGCUCUGAGACAGUUCUUCUCUAAAUGCAGACCUCUUCUGGAGAAGGUUUCCUGUGCUUUGAGGCUGCCACUGUUCCUACAGCACUGAGAAAUGGCUGGGGGCCACUUGGAGAUAGAGGCCCCAAGGGCAGAGCCAGUGGGUUGUGUCAACAUGCAUUCUUACAGGAAUUAGAACUGAAAUCUCCUACGGUUGAACAAGAAUAAUAAUAAAAGUAAGAUUGGCUUUUUUCUCCUCUAUCCA